UGAAAGACGACGACCACGUGGUGGUAGAACGUGUCUAUUUCCAGACGAAAAGGAGGCUGCCAUUAUGCAAAUAGUAGUUGAAAAUAAUGCCAUUACACUGCGGUAAAUCCAACAACAGAUUAUUGAAAACCCUGCCAUCUUCCAUAAUAUCAGAGUGAGCUUAUCAACCAUAGCCCGCAUCCUUAAGAAACACCAUUUCCGGAUGAAGCAAAUCUACAGUCCCAUUUGAAAGGAAUUCCCAAGGAGUGAAGGAUAAAUAUGAAUAUUUGCAAAGAAUCAUGGAUUUGGAUGUAAGUCCCAUGCCCCAGGAAAUCAUAUUUAUAGAUGAGGCUGGAUUCAAUUUUGCAAAGACGAGGAGGAGAUGAAGGAACAUCAUUGGUCAACGUGUCAUCAUUGAGGUACCUGGCCAGCGCAGGGAAAUGUCACCAUAUGCGCAGCUAUGAGCCACAAUAGGGUCCUCCACCGACAUGCCACCCUUGGACCAUACAACACUGCCCAUCUCUUUAACUUCCUUAACACCUUACAAGACAGUCUUUUUCAGCCAGAGCAGAGAGGGCCAGGUGAUCCUGAGCAGCAAAUGUAUGUUCUAAUUUGGGACAACGUGAGUUUCAAAUCGGGCUGCUCAGCUCCGCAACUGUUUCCAUGACCAUCCCAGGUUUACAAUUCUUUAUUUCCCACCAUAUUCCCCAUUUCUCAACCCCAUUGAGGAGUUGUUUUCAGCAUGGCGGUGGAAGGUGUAUGAUCGCAAACCCCAUAAACGUAUGGCCCUUCUCCGGGUAAUGGUGGAAGCCUGUGGUGACAUUCCCGCAGAGUCCUGUCAGGGGUGGAUGCGUCAUGCCAGAAGAUAUUUCCCGAGCUGUCUGUGAUGUUGAUGAAAAUCUGUGACCGGACUAAAACAACAGACAUGACUGAUUUUGUUUUCUCAAUGGAGUAUUUGUUUCUUGACUUAUGAUUUAGAUUUGACAGUUUCUUUAUCCAUUCCAUACAAUUGAUCUAACAUACAGUAGUACAAAUAGGACUAUUUUCUUCCUUUGCUUAUGCAAAAUAUAUUUACUGCAUGUUUGCAUUUUUACUGUAUGUGUGCUUACAGUAUGCUGUUUGACAUGUAUUGGGUCAUGUUGAAAUAUUAAACAUUAAACAUACACUUUU